ACUUUAAUAUAUCUAGUUUUAAAUUAAUCUGCAUUUGUUCAAAAAACAAGAAAAUGUGUAUUUUAUUCCUUUACUAAAUUAAUCUAAGUAAUCCCAGCCAAGCUUUUUAGGUACACACGCACAACAAACAAUACCUUGUUUUAUUUACUCACAUGGUAAAAAAAAAAAAAAAAAACUCCCCUUCCUGUUUCGUUGGUCUGGAAACCCCUUGCAUUCCUAACGAAGACGAACACGCGGACUGAAUUUAAGGUGAUUCUCCUGACAAUAGGCUACACUGGAUAAAGGUUUGUGAUGACGAUGAUGCUGCAGCCAUCCAAGAGGCCAUCACUUCAUUUGUGCUCAACAUCUUUGUGGUCAGCAAAGCCAGGGAUGGAGGUCUCGAGAAGAAAGUUGGAAUAGCCAUUGAGGGAGCGGAGGUCCUUUUUUGCAUUCCCAGUGUAGCACAUGCUUGCUCCUACCUUAUGGGCCUUAUUUAUGCUUUGGAACUAAGCUACCCAGAGAAACUUAAAUACACCUUUGAGGUAUUUCAGAAGAUCUUCCUGGAGCUGGAGGAUGUUAACAAAAACAUGUCCUCCAAAAUCCACGAUCACAAGAUCAGCUUACUGGCCUAAAAGCGAUACAGACAUUGUUGAAUGUAGAGGGUUUGAGUCCCUCUGGUAAAGUUUUACUGUUCAAUUUCUCAGGUCUUUUUCAGUGCACUUUCUCAAGUCACACUAAUCCUAUUUCAUAUAGGGACCAUGUUUGUGAGUGUUAAUGUUAAAGGUGCAGUUGAAGGAAAGAUGACAGUUAAGAAGUCAGAAACUAUAUUGCACAAUGUGAGUUUUUUUCAAUAGAAACCCAAAGAAACUGAAAUGUAGGUUUCUUAGAAGAUCUCCAUUGUCACACGGGGAUCAUACAUAUGAUCAUACAUGUGCAAGCGUGUUGUUUUAAAGUCUUAAGAGUAUGUUACUGUACAGGACUGAAAAACGCAAUUUUAUAGAAAAUAUUCUGUAAAUGUGUCUGAAUGGUUUCUUAUGAAGACAAUAAAGCCUGUCAACUUUCACUUAA